UAUAAAUUGCAAAACCUUCCCCUCAGUUCCUUUCAUAUCUAGUAUCAAGCACAAACCACAUUUCGUUAAUAAGCUCCUCAGUCGAUCUACUCCACUCGCGAAAAAGAGGUACAGUGAUGAGAACGAGGCCUGUGACGGUGUUUGCUCUAGUGCUGCUCGUGAUGGUGGCGAGCUCUUGCUCGGCCAUGGAGAAAAGGGCUGCUUUCAUGGUUAUGAGGGAGCGUGAGGGAUGGGGGAGGCGACUGCUCAGAGAAGGUGGUGCCGAUGACCCACUUCAGUACUCGGGAAGUACAGUUACAGAAAACCACCACGGCAUCCCGAUCGGGAAGUACCCUCCUGGGGGUGCAGUGCCCUAAUAGAGCCGUUCUGGCAUCAGGCCAACCAUCAUUUGAACUUAAAAUCUCAUGGAUGUAGAGGUCACUUGUCGUUUGAUGCAUACGAAUACUAGUUUGGUAUCAAUGGACACAUGUUUUAGUCUGUGUAGUUUGGGUUAAUAGUUAGAACAAUAAACUACGUCCUUCAAUGCUACUCUGCGUUGAUAGGGGCGAUAGAUAUGCAGUCAUAUGCGCACGGUCGUCUGCUGACGGCGUUUAUUGUAUGUAUUUGCAUGUUCAGCACCGAGAGUAGAUGUGUUUGUGUAUGAUACGAUUAUUGGAGCAAAAA